GGCCUCCACUUGGGAAAACAUUUUUCAAACUCGAUUGUCGCUGUUGGAUGAUAGUGGCUUGGUAGUGAGCCUGGAUGUGCACAGCAUAGAAAGCUUUACUUUGGUAUUACCUUUUUUGUCCAAUUAAAGCUUGAUGGCAAAAGAGACCUUGAAAAGUAAGUCUGAAAAGACUUUCUUUUGUAUCAAAAGCUUGAAUGCCUGUGUAAACAGAGAACUAAAUAAUCACAGGGUUCAGUUUAUUUCAGCAUUUUUUCCUCCUGCUGGAGUUUUGAGAUAGGUAAGAAUGGAUUUCUUCCAAACAAAUCUGGGCAAGAGAACUUGAAAGUCCCGACCAAUCUUAAGUAUCCCCACGUUAUUCUUGAUAUAAUUUUACCUGGAAAGUGGAAUGCACACACAGAAUUGGGUUUAUCUUGAGUUCUUUUGCAAAUAGAACUCACCACACAAAGGGGCAGUGUGGCCUACUCAGGUAUACCUUUGUUCAAUUCCCUUAUCAAAGUUCGCAGAACCAGAGUUGUGACUCUACAUGCUGUUUCAUUAAUCCAGGAGAAAACUUAGCAUGCAAGGAAGCUCAGAAAAUGAGGUGGAUAGACACCGGGAAAUAAUCAGCAAAGGAAAAAUGACAUUGAUGAUAGCAUCCAUAAGGAAAUUCCCAUAAAAAGGACCAGUCCUGCUUAAAGCAUAUUUCAGUUGCCAGAGGCAAAUAACUGGGCGAAGUGAUGAGAAUAACUGGCCGAUGGAAACUGAGCCCUUACUGGGACACCUGUCUCAACCCCUCCAAGGCAGAAGAAGGGGUAGAAAGAAUGUAAGAACUGAAACAGGUGAAGCUCUGACCGAUUCAACAGUGCUCGACCAGUUUUCCUUGAGGCACAUCCUGGCCCCUACAUUCACAGACUCAAAACAGCUACAAUGACCCGUACAAGAUCUGCAGAGAUCAGUCUCCUCCACGUUAUUCCGUGGAGGGGGAGAGAAGCUCACAAAGCUUCACCACUCUCUGAGGAUUUGUACCCAGCUAACCAUUACUGGCAGACGGAGAGACACUUUCUUCAGUUGUAUAACCCUUGGUACUCAGACUGGAACUCACUGGAAGAAAGAUGCUGCUAAAAUGUCCAUCUCGCCGGGCGGUGGUGGCGCACGCCUUUAAUCCCAGCACUCGGGAGGCAGAGGCAGGAGGAUCUCUGUGAGUUCGAGGCCAGGCUGGACCGACAGCCUCCAAAACAUUACAGAGAAACCCUGCCUCGUAAAAAACAAAAAAAAUAAUAAAAUAAAAUAAAUAAAAUAAAAUGUCCAUCUCAUCCCUGAGAUCCAAGAACAGCUCACAAAUCUGACUGCAGUUGCUAGGCCUGCGAACUUAGAGGUUUCUCUGAAUAAACUUGGAUCUCCUCAAAAAUGA